GACGAACGCUGGCGGCGUGCCUAAUACAUGCAAGUAGAACGCUGAAGGAGGAGCUUGCUCUUCUGGAUGAGUUGCGAACGGGUGAGUAACGCGUAGGUAACCUGCCUGGUAGCGGGGGAUAACUAUUGGAAACGAUAGCUAAUACCGCAUAAGAGUAGAUGUUGCAUGACAUUUGCUUAAAAGGUGCAAUUGCAUCACUACCAGAUGGACCUGCGUUGUAUUAGCUAGUUGGUGAGGUAACGGCUCACCAAGGCGACGAUACAUAGCCGACCUGAGAGGGUGAUCGGCCACACUGGGACUGAGACACGGCCCAGACUCCUACGGGAGGCAGCAGUAGGGAAUCUUCGGCAAUGGACGGAAGUCUGACCGAGCAACGCCGCGUGAGUGAAGAAGGUUUUCGGAUCGUAAAGCUCUGUUGUAAGAGAAGAACGAGUGUGAGAGUGGAAAGUUCACACUGUGACGGUAUCUUACCAGAAAGGGACGGCUAACUACGUGCCAGCAGCCGCGGUAAUACGUAGGUCCCGAGCGUUGUCCGGAUUUAUUGGGCGUAAAGCGAGCGCAGGCGGUUAGAUAAGUCUGAAGUUAAAGGCUGUGGCUUAACCAUAGUACGCUUUGGAAACUGUUUAACUUGAGUGCAAGAGGGGAGAGUGGAAUUCCAUGUGUAGCGGUGAAAUGCGUAGAUAUAUGGAGGAACACCGGUGGCGAAAGCGGCUCUCUGGCUUGUAACUGACGCUGAGGCUCGAAAGCGUGGGGAGCAAACAGGAUUGAUACCCUGGUAGUCCAUGGGCGAGUUGCAUGUGGAUAUCAAGCUUAUCGAUACCGUCGACCUCGAGGGGGGCCCGGUCCCUGCUUUUUGUUCCCUUUAGUGAGUGUUAAUUAA
rnacentral:rRNA from 1 species